GACGAACGCUGGCGGCGCGCCUAACACAUGCAAGUCGAACGGAGCUUAGAGAGCUUGCUUUUUAAGCUUAGUGGCGAACGGGUGAGUAACGCGUGAGUAACCUGCCCUAGAGUGGGGGACAACAGUUGGAAACGACUGCUAAUACCGCAUAAGCCCACGGUACCGCAUGGUACUGAGGGAAAAGGAUUUAUUCGCUUUAGGAUGGACUCGCGUCCAAUUAGCUAGUUGGUGAGGUAACGGCCCACCAAGGCGACGAUUGGUAGCCGGACUGAGAGGUUGAACGGCCACAUUGGGACUGAGACACGGCCCAGACUCCUACGGGAGGCAGCAGUGGGGGAUAUUGCACAAUGGGGGAAACCCUGAUGCAGCGACGCCGCGUGGAGGAAGAAGGUUUUCGGAUUGUAAACUCCUGUCGUUAGGGACGAUAAUGACGGU
rnacentral:rRNA from 1 species